UACGUCUUAUGCCAAUGUUUGGGUUAGUUUUGCCGACGCUUCGGGAAAAGGAUAAUUUAUUCCCUGGAAAAGCAGGUCCUUUCUUUUGCAAUACUUAGUCGAUAUAUUCAAAAACGUCAACCCCAACUCUUUCUUCUUCCUCCUUUUUUCAUUCUAGUUUUUUCUUCUCUCUGGGUUUUCCCCUUUCUUCUCCGACUACACAACUUCCUCUCUCACUUGCUCCCUCUCUUUCUCACUCUCCCUCAUCUCCCACACCCACCUUCCCUCUCUCUAAAUCUUACUGUCCUCCGACCUAGGUUUGAGCUCCGGCAACUAUGAGCCAUCAUCUGACCCUCACGUUGCCCCAAGAAUGCCAUCCUGACCCCAAGAAUCAGAUGAUGUCGACCCAAUUGAAGUUCAUAACAUCAAUGAUGUAUUUCCUAGAAUUCAAAAUCAAAAUUUGGAUGACUUUUUGGUUGAUGAAUGUGACUUUGAAGAUGAAACUCUAAGGGAAUAUGAGGAUGAAGGUGAAGAAUGUGUACAUGUAGAAAGUAAUUGUGAUGAUAAUUGGGUUUUGGUUAACGAUGAUGAUGAUUUGUAAAUUCAACUUAUUGUAACAUUUUUUCUUAAUUAAAUGAAGAUUGAUUAUUACUUGA